rnacentral:rRNA from 1 species
UACGGAGGGUGCAAGCGUUAUCCGGAUUCACUGGGUUUAAAGGGUGCGUAGGUGGUUUUGUAAGUCAGUGGUGAAAGCCCGGAGCUCAACUCCGGAACUGCCAUUGAUACUGCUUAACUUGAAUCAACUUGAGGUGGAUGGAAUAUUACAUGUAGCGGUGAAAUGCUUAGAGAUGUAAUAGAACACCGAUUGCGAAGGCAGUUCACUAAGGUUGUAUUGACACUGAGGCACGAAAGCGUGGGGAUCAAACAGG